AGAAGGUUACUAGGGUCUUAUGGGAAGUUAAGUUUCCUCUAGUAAAGGAAGAAACACUUGAUUUUCCUAUGGCAGAGGAGGUAAAAGAGACUGAAAUAAAAAUCACACUGCCAAGGGGCCUCAAUAACAUAACUGCUCUCGCGGGGUCUCAAUCUUUUAUACUUAUAGUCUCCCUAUACCAUGAUCCUGAAACUGAUUUCAAUAGCAAUCUAGAAGAUAAACGUUACGGUUCGAAAUUGGUAGAUAUUGAGCCGCCAACCGAGUUAUCUGGGCUAGAGAAGGAUCAAG